CACGCCCCCGUCGGGCCCGCCCACUUACGGGUCUUUGCUCUUGUGUCCCUUCUCCCGCGCGGGGUCAAGCCACAGCCACGCCCCCUCGGCUCCGCACCGUCUCCGCCCUCCCUCACCGCGCGCUGCUCCGCCGCCCAGCUGUCGCGGGCUCCUCCUCCUGCUCCUCCUGGCCUAGCGUCCCUUCGUGAAGGACCAGCUCGUCCACCGACCCAGUUAAGUCCCGGGAGGCAGCUCAAGAUGGCGACCCAGGAAGACCCUGAACUUAUUUCCUCCCACGGACACAGAGAAUCUGCAAUUACAUAUGGAACAAUUUCCUCUGAAAAAGGCCUGAAAGCAAGCUGAGAAACUCCUUCACUUGGGCAAAUGAAAACAUCGGAGCAGGGUCUACAGUCACUGAAACAUCAGUGUGAGAGAGGUGGCAUGCCCUGGGGACACCUAUCAGAUGCAGUCUCUCAAGAAGCAUCAUGGGUAAGUGUGUUAAUUAGAGAGAGGAAGAUAGAGAAUCCCAAGCAGGCUUAGGCGCUGAAGCCGGACCUGGGGCUCAGACCCAUGACUUGUGAGAUCAUGACCUGAGCUGAAUUCAGAUGAUCAAUUGACUGAGCCAUCCAGGCACCCCAGGAGUAAUUUCAUCUUGAGACUUCCUACACUAGACGAUGUCUGAGAUAUAACGUAAACAUAGUAGACCUUCACUGACAAGCAUGUUGAGAGUGUUGCAGCACUGGUUUUUCAACCUUAUUUAAAUAUAUUUUUGGUUAUAUGAAUAAAUACGCCAUAUAAACCAUGGACCAAUGGGCCCUUCUUAGAUCCUUUUCUCAUAUAAAAGGAGAAAUCUAGAGAUUGGAAGAUGUGAGGUCCUGAUCCUAUUGCUGGCUCUGAUCAGCUGCUUGGCCAGGUGGCCUUGCAUAAUUUCUCUUAUUUCCCUGGCUCUUUAUCACCAUUUCUGCUAAAAGAGAAUCCUGGAUCAGAUGAUGUCUAAGCUUCUCUAGCUUUUUAAUUUAUUGAGUAUGUUUCUUUUUGUUCCUUAUAUUUUAGUAGUUUAGAACCAUUACAUAGGCUAAAUAAGUAGAGCUCAUACAGAGAAUUAGUCAUUUAUGUAUUUGGAUGUUAGAGAACUUUUCUAGGUCUUCUGCAGCUCCUGUGGGAAUGGUAAUGGCUAACCAGAACUGUCUUAGCAAAGCUGGAAGGAAUUAACCGAGUUUCAUUCUAUAAGAAAUGUGUUUGACGGUCUCAGUAAUAAUUUUAGAUAUGAUUGUACAAUAUGAAUGUAUGUUCAUUUAAGUAUUGUUACUAACCAUAAUAACAGCAUUUUCUGUUCAGGAUGCAUAUUGAUUUUUGAGACUAUGGUUAAUCAACAACUGAGUAAAACCUUCAUGCAAGCUCAACCGGUUGCUUUUGGCCCACCUUUGAUUUUAGUUCCAUCUGCAGUGAAGAGUUCCAAGGCAUCUCCUGGUAGGGGAAUUGAUCCCUAACUGUCUGUGGAUCCUUGGUACCAUACCCUUAAAUAGACUUUACUUAUUCCCAAAUUCUAUCUGCUUCUUGGGAUCAUGCUCCACAUAAACAAUCUGCACUCAAG